UUGUCACUACCACUGCUUAUCACUAGCUGGAAUCAUGGGCACCCUUAUUCAGUUUUCCUUUUUGUUUGUAAAAAAAAUGAAUGUCUACUGGGGGAACAGGGAGGUCAGGUAUUCUGAUUACGUCUGUAAUAGUGCCUCUAUCCAUCUUGUAUUGACCCUUGUGGAGCUGACAGUCCUUUAUACACCCAGACCUAGUGGGAUGUUCUUCACCCUGGCCUGUUGCAGAACUGCUCCUUUUCCCAUUCUCUUUCCCUCCUGAAAGAGCAUUAACACUAAUUAACGUGUAAGAAAAUGAGGGAAUGUAAGGAGAAAACAACAGGUAAAGUGGAAAGUGAUACCCAAAACACAGUGAAAUAAUGGAGAGCUAAUUGUACAAUUUUGUAUUCUGUUCCACAGCUACUGUCACUGCACUGCUUCUGCCUCUGUAAGGCACUGCUGUUGACCAGAUCAUAAAGAAGUCGGAGUCUUUACAAGAUGUGCAGAUCCAACUUUCAACCCUUUCAGAGAUGGUAGCAUUUUUCAACGCAGAAGUCUGAGCACAGUUCCCAUGGCCAGCAUCAUUAGCACAAUAGAUGUUACAUACUGCUGGUUAAAGCAGCCUGACAACGCGGCUGUCAGAACAAAUCACUCAGCAGAGCUGCCCUUUUAAUGAGGAGCUGCGCCUAUGCAUGCACGCACACAUUCAGAACCUGUAAGUAUCCCCCAAAAGCCUAUUCAUAAAAUCACCAGGGAACACGUGAUCAGGCACUGAGUGUAGGCCUAGGAGGGAAACAAUGCACUUUAAUCAGAUAUACGUCUGUUUUCAUGAGGGGAGGAAGAGAAGGGAGAAAAAGAACCAUCACCUCAUGCAAAUAUUAGGAACAGACUCAAAGAAGAACCAUCACCUCAUGCAAAUAUUAGGAACGAGCCCAGACAGGAGCUCAAUUCAGCUGUCAAUCACAUACAAGAUGUGUCAUUAUUUUCUUUUUCUAUAAUUCUUAAUGAAGGAAGUGCUUUUAGAAGGGUGACAGGUUUACCUUUGGAGUGUCAUUUAUUAGGAGAUUGAGGUCCCGUUGUGUGAAGUGUUGUAAAUAUGCAUUAUAAAAGGCAAUGGCUGCUCUGCCCUGAAGACUUUAUUGCCUAUGCUGCCAAACAAAGGCUUGGAGAAGGGAAACACAGUGCUCAAAAAGAAAAG
ensembl:lncRNA